GACGAACGCUGGCGGCGUGCUUAACACAUGCAAGUCGAACGGAAAGGCCCUGCUUUUGUGGGGUGCUCGAGUGGCGAACGGGUGAGUAACACGUGAGUAACCUGCCCUUGACUUUGGGAUAACUUCAGGAAACUGGGGCUAAUACCGGAUAGGAGCUCCUGCUGCGUGGUGGGGGUUGGAAAGUUUCGGCGGUUGGGGCUGGACUCGCGGCUUAUCAGCUUGUUGGUGGGGUAGUGGCUUACCAAGGCUUUGGCGGGUCGCCGGCCUGGGAGGGUGACCGGCGACAUGGGGACUGAGAGACGGACCAGACUCCUACGGGAGGCAGCAGUGGGGAAUAUUGCACAAUGGGCGGAAGCCUGAUGCAGCAACGCCGCGUGCGGGAUGACGGCCUUCGGGUUGUAAACCGCUUUCGCCUGUGACGAAGCGUGAGUGACGGUAAUGGGUAAAGAAGCACCGGCUAACUACGUG
rnacentral:rRNA from 1 species